UGCCGCGGGUCGGUACUCCACUCUGGCAGGAGUCUUACCCAUGAAGUAUCUGCGUAUGUGCGGCAAAGCUGCGCAUGCACACCAGAGAGCAAUGACGCUUCUGAAUAGAAGCGUUUUAUUGCUCCCUGCUUGCACCCUCCUAUUUCGUAAUUUUGAUGAAAUAGGGGGCGCGGCAUCAGGAGGAUCCUGGCGCUGUAUCCGGGUAAGUAAAAUCCCUUCCCUGUAGUGACCCUUUAAUGUUAUUAUUUAAUCAUUUAUAUAGCAAUUGCAAAUUCCGUAGCGCUGUACAAUGGGAUAAACAACUCCUAGUUUACGGAAUAAGAAUAUACCCGGCGGGUAAAAAUGAUUUCCCCCCCAGAUUUUUUUCGGUUCCUACGCCCAUGCCGGGUGCUCAGUGGAAGCACAAGGCGAAGGCAGAGAAGAAGGAAGAGGUCGCCAACGCAACUGGGGCACCGCCAGCACCUCAGAAGGCAGGGUUAGCGUGGUUGAAAUGUGGAAAAGCUUUGUCAGCACGCCACAACAACCAGCAUCACUAGCUGAUAUGUAACGUCUUAGCAGGAGGCAACAUUUCAGCAACAUGGUGGAACAGUACGUGUGAUGGUUCUGCCCCAGUCAACUUCUGGGUCUCCAAAUUGGGUAAAUGGCCUGAACUUGUUUGUUUUCUUUUUUU